rnacentral:snRNA from 1 species
GGAUGUGAGGGCGAUCUGGCUGUGAUGUCUGUCACCCCAUUGAUCGCCAGGGUUGAUUUGGCUAAUCUGGCUGGCUAGGCGGGUGUCCCCUUCCUCCCUCACCGCUCCAUGUGCGUCCCUCCCGAAGCUGCAUGCUCAGUCGAAGAGGAGGGCCUUCGGUCAAGGGUAUACGAGUAGCUGCACUCCCCUGCUAGAACCUCCAAACAAGCUCUAAAGACUAGAUACUUAAGUCAGUAUCUAUUGUGGUGGCCCACUGGCAGGUGAUAUAACUGUCUCUGAC